UACGUAGGUGACAAGCGUUGUCCGGAUUUACUGGGCGUAAAGAGCGCGCAGGCGGUCGAUCAAGUCGAGUGUGAAAGCCCCCGGCUCAACUGGGGAGGGUCAUUCGAUACUGAUCGACUCGAAGGCAGGAGAGGGUAGUGGAAUUCCCGGUGUAGUGGUGAAAUGCGUAGAUAUCAAGAGGAACACCUGCGGCGAAGGCGGGUUGCUGGGCCGACACUGACGCUGAUGCGCGAAAGCCAGGGGAGCGAACGGG
rnacentral:rRNA from 1 species